ensembl:lncRNA
ACUAAUUAGCUUUCAUGAACUGAAAACACACUGGAAAAAGUGGUAGGGCGAAACACAGCAGAGCCCAGAGGCUUUGAUGGCCAUUUGGAAGGAUUCAAAUUUAUUACAAUUCCCUAUUCCACAAUUCUCAACACAUCUGUGCAGCUCUUCCUUUCCCUUUGUUAUUCUUUUUGUAUAGAACAUGCCAUACUUGCUGGGUGUAUGAACACGUGUGUGCACUCUCAGGCAGCCUGGUGUGUGAUUAUCAUUGUUUAUAAACAGUUGUACCCAAUGUAUGUGUCACAAACAUGCUUAUUUUCCUCUUUUUUUCUCUUUCACUUUUCUCCUGUAAUUCUCUUGUUGUGUCCCUUUCCAUUUUUAUGUCUAUCUCUCCCCAUUGUUCUCAACCCUUUUCACACCCUUCUUCUUUAUUGAUACUUGCAUCACCCUUCUUUCAAGUCAUCCACUUGUAUUCCCAUGCUCAUCCCAAACAUCUCCUUCCUCCCAUUAUCCCCUCCCUCCUCUGUAUUGGCCCACUGCUUUGUUCCUGCAACUCUACCCACACCUCUUACACCCCCCUUCCCUGUGCAUCUAAGUGGGCUUUGAAGAGUUAAUGUUGAGACGUGAUAUCCCACUCUGUGCUGCCUCCAGAUAUCUAUUAAAGAGGCACAGCUCUCUAUCACAGCUUCGACACCAGAUGUUGCUUGCAUCUCCACUCAUUGCAGAUGUAAUGGGCCUGAAUGCUGCAGUUUGCGACUUCACUGGCAUCCAUCCUGUGCGAUGCAGCACCAGAGGAAAAACAAGUGAGAGACAGAGAGCGAGACCCGGAGAGGGAGAUGUGUAAUUAUCCUCCAUUACGACAAAGUAUUUUAUUUCCCCCAGCAGCAGAGGACAAUUCCGUGUCAAAAUGACAGCUAUCAAAGUAAAGAUGGGCGUUCUGAUUCAGAGACUGGGUGAAGAUUUGCUGGAGUAUCACUGUUUUCCUGUCUGUGAAUCUGUGUACAUUCUAGGAUAUUAGUGUGUUUGUGUGGGGAGUGUGGACUUUUAUUUUAGGUUUUGGUAAAAGCUUAUGAUAACAAACAGUGGUAUUUAUACGUGGAAUUUGAGAAGAAAUUGAUGAAAGGGUGUGGAAGAUUACCAUUUAUGCCAUAUAAAAUAUUACUAAAUGUGUAUGAUCAUUUUUACAUCUGUAAACAAUGAUAACAAUAUAAUAAUGAUAAAUAAUGAUAAAAGAAGCGGAUGCAGACACCGUGACAUCAGUCAUUUAUGAACGACUGUUCUGAAGUCUUGACUUAGGCCAUCUUGUUUUUUUUGCAGCAAGACAAGAUUAUAUUUGAAGUAGAGGAGUAAAGCAAACAUUAAGUUACCAUCCAGCACUAGCUGACGCAUCAUUUUCAUAUACGUAACCUCCAUUAACUGAGAUAUUGGUUGAUGUUGAUAUUUUGUUAGAGUAUAUUUAGUACAAUCCAACACUGAACAAGACAUUUAUUGUUAUAUUAUGUUAUCAUCAGGUAUUAACCGGACAAACAUUCAGAGAGCAAUACUCUCUGACAAACAGUAGACUGACGGUGCCAGGUUUCUGUUUGUCAUGCACAACCUUCGCCGCAGCAGAUGACAAAUAAAUCUCUUCAUCUGCGUUGCUGUUAUUCCGCUUCACAUUUGAUCUUGCAGGAUGUGGUUGCAGACAAUCAAAAUCAUAAUUAUGGAUACAGUGCAGCGAGGGGGGCAUUUUAUAAUAUGUCUCUGAGAUGACCAGCGUUCAUAUUUAUUUUUAUAGGGGUCUCUGUGCAAGCAACAAACUUGAUUUAUUUCCUUCUCCUUUUAAGGGUGCAAGACCCAGACAUUCAGAAAUGAAGUGGAACGCUGCUAAGAAUUUCAAAUGCUCUUUUAAUACAUCCCCCUCAUAUUGACGUUUAGCUGAGGAUCCGUCUUUUUUAUUUCUGUCGUUUCUAGCGCUGCAGCCAUUGGUAUAUUUGUGUGUGUGGGUGUGAGAGUGUGUGUGGCAACAUUUAUUUCCCCUCAUCGUCUGUUGAGAGAGGUAUGUGCGGCGAGGGUGGGAGUGUAAUGGUAAUCAUUUUUUUGUGAGAGCGCCCAGGGUCUGAAGUGGCUGUUGCAGAGGACUUUUAGAUUGAUCUUGCAACACACACACACACACACACACACACACACACACAGACAAACACACAAGCCCUAAAGAAGAUAUGCUAUGUGGAUUGCAUCCACCACCCCCUGCUUUCCCUCCCUCUACGCCGCCAUUUGAUUAAUGAUCCAAAUAUGUGGAUAAAAAAAUCAAAACAACUCGUCAAAUCUAGGGAAGAUGCAGCUUAAGGAUGAAACUACUGACUAACGAGGGGAACAUCGUUUUUCUCCAGGAAACAACUCUUAUUUGGUCUUUUUUUAAAUUUCCAUUUGUGUUUGACUUGGAUAUUGUACCAUGCAGGUAUUGAUACCCUCUAAUAGGAAUUUAAUAAAUAUGGAAAAAUAUUCAGAUAUUGCUCAAUCAAAGUACACUGCUAUGACAUUAAGAUAUUUCACUGUGGUGUAUGUGUGUGGUACCCCAGUGAGUAUAUUGGGUGCUUUAAAUUUGCAGUUGUGCCCACUUCUUACACAGUGGACCACUAAUUGACAUUUUCAUUAAUAGCAAAUAUAUGUCCCUGUCUGUAAUAAUGACCCUUUUCCAAGCAGCGCCAGGGGCCCUGCUAAUGAAGGUUGGAAUAGAGGCACGAAACUAGUUCAAUUAUGAUGGAGAAAAACAGAUAUAUGCUUGAAGGUGUGGCAAGAAGGGGGCAGAUCAUGGCGGAAGAUGGCUGAAGGUGUUGAGGUGAUUCUAUGCGUAGUGAAAGGAGAUCACUUCACAAAUAACACAACUGAUCAAGCAAAAACCAAACCUUUUGAUCAAUCCCAAUCUCAUGUACUGUUGUGACUAAAUGUACUGAACAGGAAGUGGCCAUCUGGAACAGCACAGGGUUUUCACUGGUGGACCGGUCAGCCAGCAGGCAUAGCUGACACAAAUAUAAUUUUUAAAUGGCGUGCCAACUGGUAAGGUAAUGGGUUAAUUAGGGGUGUAACGAUUCAUUUUAACAACGAUUCGAUUUGAAUCGCGAUUCAUGGUUGCCGAUUCGAUUCAUGGACGAUCUGGGUUAAUUUAGAACGAUUCGAUUCGAUUCAGUGCCUUUAAAUCGAUUCAGUAACUUUACUGGACAGUGCAGGCAAAGUUUCUGAGAUCCCUUCCGUUUCUUGUAAGGAAAUCAGGUUUAAAUUAAUUAUGGAUAUUAUAAACAAGCAAACAACAAUUAAUGGCUAAUGUAUUAACCUUUUAUUUGAAUCAAGUGCCAUUUUCAAUGUAAACAUUACACAAUAAUUACACAAUGUUUGGAUCAAUUUACAGAACACCGGAUUUUCAACCACAUUGUAGGGUCGCAUGUCUUUACAGCUAAACUUGGCAAUUGUUACUGUGAUGUUGAGUUUCGUGCUGGCGAGGCCUGAGGUGUCUGCAGAGCUGGAGUUACCUUCUGCUGCUGCUGCAGCGGUAACGCUGCUAGAGGUGCCUAACUGUCGGCGUUGUUUAAUCCCACGGCGCCUUAGUCAAUGGCCGGAAAGAUUCGUUGUGUUUCCGUGGUUUUUUAUUUGGCUUCUACAUAUUCUACAAACAGCGACCGACUUAUUUAGAACACCUCCGUUUUUGCAAAAGCCAAAAUGUUUCCACGCGCUGGAUCGAUAAGUUAGUUUGUAAUAAAUGUCUCACUCGCAGUCGUCUCCUCCACGCUGUGUUUUGUUCGGCUGCCGCUGCGUACUGAUGACGUCACAGACAGGCAGACUGAAUCGAGUAACGUUUAACGUGUCUAAAGUGCUAAAAAACAAACGAAAAAACACACAUCCAAACCGUUUUCUUACUUAAAUCCAAUCUGCAGUUUCCAAGUAUCGAUACAAUUCGAUUAUGUACCAUUUCAAUCUAUUUGUAAUCGAUAUAUGUCGUCCGGAAUGCCGAUGUGCAGAGCACAGAUUGAUUCAGUUGGAUCGCAGGAAUAUAAAUCGAUUAAUCUAUUCAGUGAAUGAAUCGUUACACCCCUAGAGUUAAUCAUAGCUCAAGAAUCUCCUUUACUAUGACCUUUCAAAAUGAAGAUGCCCGAUAAUGUUCUAAACAAGAAUGAGACCGACCACCUUACAAGACACAUUACAGCAUUGGUCAUUUCAGCAUUCAUUUGUGUAAGUUCAAGUGACAAAAACUACUGGUCCUGGGAAUUGUGAUUGCUUUUUUUAGGUCAUAAUGGGUUUUGGAGAGGUCUGAUUCCUCUGUUUUUCAACAUUUACUGAAUCUGGAGUACUUUUAAGCCACAUGAGGGCGGACUGUUCACAUAGUUCUGAUGUGUAGCCUAUUGAUGAAAUAACAUAUGAUAUGAAAGAUAAGCACAGACUUUUUGUUUAACUCAUGAUUUCUUUGGGCUUUAUUUUUUAUUUCUUUAAAAUAUGUUUUUAUCUAUUCAAGAUAACAUGCGGUGAUGUAGAAAUUGAAGUAAAAAUGUGUUCUUUUGACAAUUUACAUGGCAAGACCUAUUGUUAAUUGGGUCCAGAUGUUUUUGUGUUGAAAGAGUGGGUCCCCGGAGAAAAGAUCAGGAGACAUUGCCCAUUGCCCGAGACAUUGUGUUUUUAUUACCACAUAGUCCUAAAAGUCAAGGUUCAGUCUCUACCUCUGAGGACCUGACUGAGAGGUCAUCAGUAGAAUGAUGGGAUCUUGUUGGUUUGAUGGGUAAACCCCUACAACUUGUACAAGUCUUUAGCUGUCACAGUCUAGAGUCAGUCUUUCACUGUGAUAACUCAUUUUAUAUAUCCAAGGAGCAAAUCAUACAACUGCUUUGAACGAAUCUGUGUUUAUGUUGACUUUAUCAGGCAACGUUGCAAUAAUAUAAGAAUUGAUUAUAACAUAUGAAAUUAGUAUCUACAGUCAGAGUGAGUAUGGGAUUGAUGGAAUUGAUCAAUUCUGGGUUCUGGAGUCUGCAUCACAUUUUAGAGAAUUUCUAAGAUGACAUUAUCUUUAGUCCUUUAAAAUGUUCCACCUAACUUCAAUAUAAAGAAAAUGGGAUAGAUUUACCUUCUUGUUUCGGCUACUUACUUCUAAAAGAAAUUGUUUUCAGUAUCACUUCAGUGAUCACAUGGGCAGUUUGUUGGUAAAAAAAUCUUUACGUUCUACCUGGCAAAUAAAGCUGGUUGUGAUGAGGCCGAUUCUGACACUGAUGUAGCCGGGACUGCCCUCCAGUUCCUCCCCCUCCUGGCCAUACAGAGUAUUUCUCCUAGAAUAAUUUGGUUGACACACACACAGCGGGAGAACAAGUAUUUUAUAUAUAUAUAUAUAUAUAUAUAUAUAUAUAUAUAUACACAUUUAGCAGUUGAUUCCAUGACAAAUAUUUGUCACUUUGCUACGAUUUUCAGAACGUUUCAUUCCAACCGGUCAUUUUUCAAAACUCAACUCAAGACGGUUGUCACUUGUAACACAGGCGGUCUGAUGUUCAAAACAUUGCAUUGUGCAUUCAAAUCUUUAAAGAAAUCUUGCACAAUCAAUUGUUCAAAAAACAAAUUUACUGUGAAAUACUAUUGAAACAUAACUAUAGAUCACCCACACACAAGCAACCGAUAGUGUCACUGUGUCAUUAUUUGUAUAUUCAUUAAAUACUGUAGAACAAAAUAGGUGAUACAGGUUUCAUUAAGGUACUACAUGUACAGUAAUACAUCUCUGUAAAAGUACUGCAGUAGUAGAAAGAAUACUACAGAAAUCAUUGAACAAAGUUUGUAAUAUACUGAUGCAAAAUACUACAGUACAAUCACAACAUCGGUUUAUUUGAAUCAAAGCAAAAAUAAUUCUCUAUAAAAUAGGAAACACAGUACUGUAAAAUAUCAAAUGCAGUCCAAACAUCUUGGAAAAAAAAUGUCGGGCAUUGCGAAUCCAGGCCUGAUACUGGUCUGCUGUGAUGUCAUUGCAGCAGUGUUCCAUCGCCUAGAGAAGAGUGACUUGUUCAAGAGGGUGCCUAUCAUGAACCUGCCAUCUCUGUGCCAAGAAAAAUUCCUCAAUCGGGUUAAGGAAGGCAGAGCAUGGGGGUAAAUACAGGGUGGUAAAUUGUGCAUAGCCCUGUGUUACGCCCCAGUCUAGGGGUGCCUAAGGUGCAACAUGGAUAGGCCCCAAUCUUCCCCGUCUCCCAAGUAGCCACACACACACUUUGCGUUAUAUAGGGGAUAUUUAUUGAACAAAAGAGGUAGGUUGAGUAAACAAGGUAUGUUGGGGUAGAAAAAUCCACGGCUUCGCCGUUGCCCAUCCCCAAUGUAAUAAACAAACCAAAAAACGAUCCUAGCUAAAAAUAAGACGCUGACCUACCAAAACAAAGGAGAAAAAUAAUGACACCAGUCUUACCUACCUAUCAACUUUAAAACAGGAGAAAACCAACUCAAAAGAAAAACGGCAUACUUAUUAGGCUUCACAGUAUAACACAAGUGGCUGGUUGGGAGAGGAGGAGGACGAGGGUUGUGUGCUGCUGCUGUUCUCCCCGCUCUGGCCUGCUAUGCCUCGGACGCCAUCUUUGCUUCCCUUAUAUGCAGGCUGCAGCCAAUCCCAGGACGGGUAGGAGACCGUCCACCAAUCCGCGCCUGGUUGUGGCACAUCCCUGUUUGAAUGAAGGGAACCCAGAAAGACAAAAAGGAAACCCCAAAACACUAUAGACAUAUGACCCCAGUCAUAACACCUGAAACCAUGCUUGCACCACAUGAGCAUAAUGGAACCUGACAUUGUCCCACACAAUGACAUAAGUCACACCUUCAGCUCUACAAACCUGAUCGAGCUCAUCAAGAAAGGUGACAAGGAGAACUGCAUUAUAUGGUCCAAUAUGAGGUCUGCGUCCCACCACCCCAUCUUCUGACAUAGCCGUACACAUGGUAAUGAAAUCCACGUUGUCCAGGUACUUGGAUGGUUGACAGCUGGCCAAUAAAAUUCCGACCUCUCCUCCUUGUACUGCCCAGGUUAAAACCCGCCUCAUCCAAAUAUAUAUAUA